rnacentral:rRNA from 1 species
GAUGAACGCUGGCGGCGUGCCUAAUACAUGCAAGUCGAGCGAACAGACGAGGAGCUUGCUCCUCUGACGUUAGCGGCGGACGGGUGAGUAACACGUGGAUAACCUACCUAGAAGACUGGGAUAACUUCGGGAAACCGGAGCUAAUACCGGAUAAUAUCUUAAACCGCAUGGUUCAAUAGUGAAAGACGGUUUUGCUGUCACUUAUAGAUGGAUCCGCGCCGCAUUAGCUAGUUGGUAAGGUAACGGCUUACCAAGGCAACGAUGCGUAGCCGACCUGAGAGGGUGAUCGGCCACACUGGAACUGAGACACGGUCCAGACUCCUACGGGAGGCAGCAGUAGGGAAUCUUCCGCAAUGGGCGAAAGCCUGACGGAGCAACGCCGCGUGAGUGAUGAAGGUCUUCGGAUCGUAAAACUCUGUUAUUAGGGAAGAACAAAUGUGUAAGUAACUAUGCACGUCUUGACGGUACCUAAUCAGAAGGCCACGGCUAACUACGUG